rnacentral:rRNA from 1 species
AUUGAACGCUGGCGGCAGGCCUAACACAUGCAAGUCGAACGAGUGGCGGACGGGUGAGUAAUGUCUGGGAAACUGCCUGAUGGAGGGGGAUAACUACUGGAAACGGUAGCUAAUACCGCAUACCAUCGGAUGUGCCCAGAUGGGAUUAGCUAGUAGGUGGGGGAAAGGAGCACCUAGCCUACGAUCCCUAGCUGGUCUGAGUGGAUGAACAGCCACACUGUAACUGCGACACGGUCCAGACUCCUACGGUAGGCAGCAGUGGGGAAUAUUGCACAAUGGGCGGAAGCCUGGUGCAGCCAUGCCGCGUGUAUGAAGAAGGCAUUCGGGUUGUAAAGUACUUUCAGCGGGGAGGCGUUACCCGCAGAAGAAGCACCGGCUAACUCCGUGCCAGCAGACGCGGUAAUUC